rnacentral:rRNA from 1 species
UACGUAGGUGACAAGCGUUGUCCGGAUUUACUGGGCGUAAAGAGCGCGCAGGCGGUCGAUCAAGUCGAGUGUGAAAGCCCCCGGCUCAACUGGGGAGGGUCAUUCGAUACUGAUCGACUCGAAGGCAGGAGAGGGUAGUGGAAUUCCCGGGUGUAGUGGUGAAAUGCGUAGAUAUCGGGAGGAACACCAGUGGCGAAGGCGACUACCUGGCCUGUUCUUGACGCUAGGCGCGAAACUAGGGGGAGCAAACGGGG